UGGGGAAUCUUGGACAAUGGGGGCAACCCUGAUCCAGCCAUGCCGCGUGAGUGAUGAAGGCCUUAGGGUCGUAAAGCUCUUUCGCCUGUGAAGAUAAUGACGGUAGCAGGUAAAGAAACCCCGGCUAACUCCGUGCCAGCAGCCGCGGUAAUACGGAGGGGGUUAGCGUUGUUCGGAAUUACUGGGCGUAAAGCGCACGUAGGCGGCUUGAUAGGUCAAAGGUGAAAUCCCUCGGCUCAACCGAGGAACUGCCUUUGAAACCAUCUGGCUCGAGGCUGGGAGGGGGUAGCGGAAUUCCUGGUGUAGCGGUGAAAUGCGUAGAUAUCAGGAGGAACACCAGUGGCGAAGGCGGCUACCUGGACCAGUUCUGACGCUGAGGCGCGAAAGCGUGGGGAAGCAAACAGGAUUAGAUACCCUGGUAGUCCACGCCGUAAACGAUGAGCACUCGGUGCCGCGGGUAUCGACCCCUGCGGUGCCUGAGCUAACGCAUUAAGUGCUCCGCCU
rnacentral:rRNA from 1 species